GUGACGAAACUUCAGCUUUAAGAGGUUAAAAGACUUGUCCAGAGUCAUGUUAACAGGAACUAAUUUUGAAGCACCAGAAUGCUGUGAAUUGGCUGUAAAACAAUGUUGAAGAAACUCAACAUAGAACAGAAGGCACACUUUCCUUAGGAAGAAUGCUGAUAAAAUUUUAAUGAACUAA